AUGCAGGUUAACCAGAUAGGACCGGCACACACAUGUGUUUCAAGUAGUAGGCUAAAUUCAGCAAUGGCCUCGCAAGAUUGGGUUCAAGAAAGGUCUAAGAAAAUUUUGAGGAAAACUCCAAACAUUGGUUGCAAGGAUUUACAAGAAAAGUUGGAGGAAGAUUGGAAUGUAACCACCGGCUAUCACACUGUAUGGAAGGGGAGAGAGAGAGGGCAAAGGACGAGAUAUAUGGUUCUUGGGGUAGUAGCUUCCGUUACCUAUUCAAUUUCAAAGCAGAGAUGGAACUUAGAUCCCCUGGAAGCAUUGUUGAGGUCGAUACUAAAAUAA
rnacentral:rRNA from 1 species